AGAAAAUGCGGGUGCUAUACAUGCAAGUCGAGCGGACAGAUGGGAGCUUGCUCCCUGAUGUUAGCGGCGGACGGGUGAGUAACACGUGGGUAACCUGCCUGUAAGACUGGGAUAACUCCGGGAAACCGGGGCUAAUACCGGAUGCUUGUUUGAACCGCAUGGUUCAAACAUAAAAGGUGGCUUCGGCUACCACUUACAGAUGGACCCGCGGCGCAUUAGCUAGUUGGUGAGGUAAUGGCUCACCAAGGCAACGAUGCGUAGCCGACCUGAGAGGGUGAUCGGCCACACUGGGACUGAGACACGGCCCAGACUCCUACGGGAGGCAGCAGUAGGGAAUCUUCCGCAAUGGACGAAAGUCUGACGGAGCAACGCCGCGUGAGUGAUGAAGGUUUUCGGAUCGUAAAGCUCUGUUGUUAGGGAAGAACAAGUACCGUUCGAAUAGGGCGGUGCCUUGACGGUACCUAACCAGAAAGCCACGGCUAACUACGUGCCAGCAGCCGCGGUAAUACGUAGGUGGCAAGCGUUGUCCGGAAUUAUUGGGCGUAAAGGGCUCGCAGGCGGUUUCUUAAGUCUGAUGUGAAAGCCCCCGGCUCAACCGGGGAGGGUCAUUGGAAACUGGGGAACUUGAGUGCAGAAGAGGAGAGUGGAAUUCCACGUGUAGCGGUGAAAUGCGUAGAGAUGUGGAGGAACACCAGUGGCGAAGGCGACUCUCUGGUCUGUAACUGACGCUGAGGAGCGAAAGCGUGGGGAGCGAACAGGAUUAGAUACCCUGGUAGUCCACGCCGUAAACGAUGAGUGCUAAGUGUUAGGGGGUUUCCGCCCCUUAGUGCUGCAGCUAACGCAUUAAGCACUCCGCCUGGGGAGUACGGUCGCAAGACUGAAACUCAAAGGAAUUGACGGGGGCCCGCACAAGCGGUGGAGCAUGUGGUUUAAUUCGAAGCAACGCGAAGAACCUUACCAGGUCUUGACAUCCUCUGACAAUCCUAGAGAUAGGACGUCCCCUUCGGGGGCAGAGUGACAGGUGGUGCAUGGUUGUCGUCAGCUCGUGUCGUGAGAUGUUGGGUUAAGUCCCGCAACGAGCGCAACCCUUGAUCUUAGUUGCCAGCAUUCAGUUGGGCACUCUAAGGUGACUGCCGGUGACAAACCGGAGGAAGGUGGGGGAUGACGUCAAAUCAUCAUGCCCCUUAUGACCGGGGCUACCACCGUGCUUAAAUGGGACGAAACAAAGGGGGGCGAAACCCCGGGGUUAACCCAUUCCCCAAAUUUGUUUUCUAUUUGGAAGGCAGGCUGGCAACCCCACGGCGGGAAGCGGGAAACCCUAAAAAUCCGGAAUAACAUGCCCCGGCGAAAAAAUUUCCCGGGCCUGUUAACACCCGCCGGUCACCCCCCAAAAUUUUAACACCCGCACCCUGGGGGACCUUUUAGACCCCCCAGGGAAUGGAGGAUUUAA
rnacentral:rRNA from 1 species